rnacentral:lncRNA from 1 species
ACGGAAUCGUGGUCUUGAUGUCGACGGUCCAGCCCUCGGCCUCCAAGACGGCGUCAAAGAGCGUCUCGUCCAUGGAGCCGCGCGGCGUCGUGUCGUCGAGCCUGGAGAUCAGACGGAAGAGGAUCACGAUAAAGAAAUACUCGCCCAGGACGCCCUGCACGGAAAUGUCGGCCGGAUGUCUGCCGUGGGCGUACUGGAGAUCCGCGACGCCGGCCGCCACGUCCUCCUCGUAGCGCCUCAUGCCGAGGCGCCGACACCAUUCGGCCUCUUCCAGCGAGAGAUGGCGAUCGUGGCCCAAUCGUAUCUCUUCCAAGUAGGCGGGCGUGGGCACUUUGACCCCGUAGCGUCUUUCAAGGACCCCCAACGCAAUGUUGACCCAGGUUGCAAUGUCGCCUCCGUCCCGUAUGGCUUUGAGCGCUCGGUCGAUGUUUUCGUGUAAGGCCAUGUCGCGCAGUUUGUCUGUCGCUCGGUUGCGCGGUGUGAAUACGCGCGUCCAAGUCGAUUUUUAUGGGGCAUGAGGCGAGUGACACCGUACGAGCCGCAAACUGGAAAAAACUUGACCCCACC